rnacentral:pre_miRNA from 1 species
UGUCUCUGUCCUCAGGAACUUACAUUUUAUCUGAGACACAAUAUGUAAGNUCUACUUUGCAUAUUUUUUUCAUUUAUUUAUAUGCUUACAUAUUGUGUCUCAGAUAAAAUGUAAGUUCCUUGAGGACAGAGACA